rnacentral:rRNA from 1 species
UACAGAGGUGGCAAGCGUUGUUCGGAAUUACUGGGCGUAAAGGGCGCGUAGGCGGCCUCGCAAGUCCCGUGUGAAAUCCCUCGGCUCAACUGAGGAAUGGCACGGGAAACUGCGGGGCUUGAGUUCGGGAGAGGGAAGCGGAAUUCCGGGUGUAGCGGUGAAAUGCGUAGAUAUCCGGAGGAACACCGGUGGCGAAGGCGGCUUCCUGGACCGAUACUGACGCUCAUGCACGAAAGCGUGGGGAGCAAACAGG